UACGUAGGGUGCAAGCGUUGUCCGGAAUUAUUGGGCGUAAAGAGCUCGUAGGCGGUUUGUCGCGUCGGCUGUGAAAACUCGGGGCUCAACCCCGAGCCUGCAGUCGAUACGGGCAGACUAGAGUGCUGUAGGGGAGACUGGAAUUCCUGGUGUAGCGGUGAAAUGCGCAGAUAUCAGGAGGAACACCGAUGGCGAAGGCGGCGUGCUGGACCUUUUCUGACGCUGAGGCGCGAAAGCUAGGGGAGCAAACGGG
rnacentral:rRNA from 1 species